rnacentral:misc_RNA from 1 species
GGCGAACUCUCUGAUGGAGAUCUGUUAAAAGCAGAAGAAGCUAGCAUUUCUUCAUCAAGUCAUGAAGCUAUUAUUCCAUCCUCUGGUGAGUGUGUCACAGAUCCAGAUGCUGAGGAGGACCAAGAUGAAUUUGGAGAUAGUAACAGUGAGCAACUUGUUCGUAGGAAGUUGGGUGAACACCAAUCCUAUGCUAGAAGCGACAAUGAACCUCAU